ACGUAGGGGGCAAGCGUUGUUCGGAAUUACUGGGCGUAAAGGGCAUGUAGGCGGUUUAGUAAGCUUGGCGUGAAAGACCACAGCUCAACUGUGGGGUUGCGUUGAGAACUGCUGAACUUGAGUUACGGAGAGGGAGCUAGGAUUACUGGUGUAGGUGUGAGUUCUGUAGAGUUCAGGAGGAAGACCGAUGGCGAAGGCAAGCUUCUGUCCGAUAACUGACGCCGAGGUGCGAACGUGUGGGGAUCAAAAAG
rnacentral:rRNA from 1 species